GACGCGAGGUGUCCAGAGGCAGCAGGUGUGAUGGGCAGGGGUCCAUGAAGAACCGCGCUGUAGCCCCCGUGGAAAGCGGACAGGCCGGCCUCCUCCCAGGAGAAUGUGGGCCAGAGGCGCUCAGGUCACCCAGGAAUUCCCCCGCGGACACUGAGUUCAGGAUAGUGUCCUGCCGCCCACCACGCCCUGCCCCUGGAAGCCUCCAAGGGCACUCCUGGGGGGAGCCUGGAACCUCUGGACCACCGCUAGGAGCCCUGCCAGCCCACCCCUCCUCCCCCGCCUGGCCUGGACGCUGGCGCACACAUGUACACACGCACGCACACACGCAUGCUCACCCUGAAAACAGAAUUCUGUAGUUGGAAGGCCUCUUUCUGGAGCUCCACCCUCACCCCACCCCUCCAGUCCUAGCUGCCAGUGGGCCAUGAGGAGGGCAGCUCGCCCUGCCCAGAGCAGCAGACCUGGCCCCAGAGGGGACCACGCGGUUCCCUCCACUGAAUGUCCCCGCUUGUCCCCCAUCUGCGCUUGUGCCCAGGACCCAGGCCCGUCCAGCCAGUCAACAGGUGACAGCUGCCAGCGGAGCCACACGAAGGUGAAGGAGGUGAGCCUCCGCAGGCGCCUGUGUCCAGCGCUCAGGGCCCUGCCAGCCAGGGCUGGCCUCCUGGUCUUCUCUGCCCACUUGGAUGCCUGCUUCACUUUCUGGGGCCCUGGGCGCUGGCCCACAUCCCUCAGUGAGGUGAACCACGAAGCCAGGCUACACUGAGCCAUCCAGAAACAGCCAGAGAGGCACGGAGCUCUUGGGGUCCCAGGCCUGGUGUGUCAUCCAGAGACAGCCAGAGAGACACGGAGCUCUUGGGGUCCCAGGCCUGGUGUGUCUCUGUCACUCUGAUGGGUUUAAGCCCAGGACCCGUGGAAGAGCUAGCCACCCCAAGGGGCCUUUCUCUAGGCAGUCGGGCUGAACGGGGCCUGAGGCCCCAAAGGAAGGCAGCACUAUGAUCAAAACAGGUUCUCGAGCGUCCCCAGCCUUUGUAAAUUGCCAGCUGUUCCCACAGGCCAAGCUGACUUCAUCACCAGCGAAUGCCAGGGGGCCUGGCCGCCUUCGCUGCUGGACACUUCAGUUUGCCCCCCUCACCUCAUCCCAGUCUUCCCAACACCAGGCGGUGCGCCUUCUCCCCCUGUAGAGUAAAAGCUGACCUCCCAACACUCUCCCACAUGUGCACGCCUGUCUAACCCCCACCAGAUCCCCCAUUACAGCCUCGCCUGGCCCUGCCCCACUGGGAUCUUUCAUGCCAGAAGUCAGGGUGCCCCACCCCGUCCCUGCUCAAACCUUGAGAAAUGGAAUAUUUCCUGCCAUAUCUGUAAACAGAGGGUGACACAGUCCCUGGGGUCUGCAGCCCCCCACUGUGAGCUCACGCGCUCUGGGGAAACUCCGAAAAAGAAAACCCAGGAACCUGGCCCGAGACUGCUGCUGUGCUGAUCAAAGGAAUGGUUGCAGUGAGCCCAGACUCUUGCAUGUUCCCAUACACAGUAAAGCGCU
ensembl:lncRNA